GAUUUCAGAAGAUAACCUUCAUCACAAUCCUCAUCCGAUCUAAUUGUAAUAUUCGGAAGAUACUAAUAUUACAUUUGUCGCUUUACGUUGGAAGAAUCUAACCUAAAAAUUGGAUUUUGUGGUUCGAUCGACACUUGAUCGCAGUGAUGCUCAGAUUGCAAUCGGAAGCACGCAUGCUGAUAGUUGCAUCAAACUGAGAGUCCAAGUCUUCCGAAAGGAAUUGUAGCCAUCGAUGACAACUAAUAUAUCAACGUGGAG
rnacentral:lncRNA from 1 species